rnacentral:rRNA from 1 species
CCGGUUGAUCCUGCCGGAGGCCACUGCUAUUGGGAUCCGAUUAAGCCAUGCGAGUCGAGAGGGUUCGGCCCUCGGCAGACUGCUCAGUAACACGUGGAUAACCUAACCUUAGGUGGAAGAUAACCUCGGGAAACUGAGAAUAAUAUUCCAUAGAUCUAGGCUGCUGGAAUGCAUCUAGAUUGAAAGUUCCGACGCCUAAGGAUGGGUCUGCGGACUAUCAGGUUGUAGUCAGGGUAAAGACCUGACUAGCCUACGACGGAUACGGGUUGUGAGAGCAAUAGCCCGGAGACGAUAUCUGAGACACGAUAUCGGGCCCUACGGGGCGCAGCAGGCGCGAAAUCUUCACAAUGUGCGAAAGCACGAUGAGGGGAUCCCAAGUGCUGGCACGUAAGUGUCAGCUGUUUCUUAGUCUAAAAAACUGAGAGAGUAAGGGCUGGGUAAGACGGGUGCCAGCCGCCGCGGUAAUACCUGCAGCUCAAGUGGUGGCCGCUAUUAUUGGGCCUAAAACGUCCGUAGCCUGUUUAGUAAAUGCUUGGGUAAAUUGUGUAGCUUAACUAUACGAAUACCGGGUAGACUGCUAAACUUGGGACCGGGAGAGGCUAGAGGUACUCCUGGGGUAGAGGUGAAAUUCUGUAAUCCUAGGGGGACCACCAGUGGCGAAGGCGUCUAGCUAGGACGGGUCUGAC